rnacentral:rRNA from 1 species
UACGUAGGGGGCAAGCGUUGUCCGGAUUCAUUGGGCGUAAAGAGCUCGUAGGCGGCUUGGCAAGUCGGGUGUGAAAACUUCAGGCUCAACCUGGAGCGGCCACUCGAUACUGCCAUGGCUAGAGUCCGGUAGGGGACCACGGAAUUCCUGGUGUAGCGGUGAAAUGCGCAGAUAUCAGGAGGAACACCGGUGGCGAAGGCGGAUCUCUGGGCCAUUACUGACGCUGAGGAGCGAAAGCGUGGGGAGCGAACAGG